rnacentral:rRNA from 1 species
CAGCAGCCGCGGGAAUACGAAGGGGGCUAGCGUUGUUCGGAAUUACUGGGCGUAAAGCGCACGUAGGCGGAUAUUUAAGUCAGGGGUGAAAUCCCGCAGCUCAACUGCGGAACUGCCUUUGAUACUGGGUAUCUUGAGUAUGGAAGAGGUUAGUGGAAUUGCGAGUGUAGAGGUGAAAUUCGUAGAUAUUCGCAGGAACACCAGUGGCGAGGGCGGCUAACUGGUCCAUAACUGACGCUGAGGUGCGAAAGCGUGGGGAGCAAACAGGAUUAGAUACCCCAGUAGUCCCUGUCUCUUAUAC